rnacentral:rRNA from 1 species
AGAUUAAGCCAUGCAUGUCUAAGUAUAAGCGACUAUACUGUGAAACUGCGAAUGGCUCAUUAAAUCAGUUAUGGUUUAUUUGAUGGUACCUACUACUUGGAUAACCGUAGUAAUUCUAGGGCUAAUACAUGCAGGAAGACCCGACUUCGGAAGGGUUGUAUUUAUUAGAUAAGAAACCAAUCCAGCUUGCUGGUUGCGUGCCGAGUCACAAUAACUGCUCGAAUCGCAUGGCUUCACGCCGGCGAUGGUUCAUUCAAAUUUCUGCCCUAUCAGCUUUCGAUGGUAGGAUCGAGGCCUACCAUGGCGUUUACGGGUAACGGAGAAUUAGGGUUCGAUUCCGGAGAGGGAGCCUGAGAGAUGGCUACCACAUCCAAGGAAGGCAGCAGGCGCGUAAAUUACCCAAUCCUGAUUCAGGGAGGUAGUGACAAGAAAUAAUGGGUCGGGGUUCUGCCCCGGGACUGCAAUGAGACGAAUCUAGACCCCUUAUCGAGGACCAAUUGGAGGGCAAGUCUGGU